AGAACGAACGCUGGCGGCAUGCCUAAUACAUGCAAGUCGAACGAACACUUCGGUGUUAGUGGCGCACGGGUGCGUAACGCGUGGGAAUCUGCCCUUGGGUUCGGAAUAACAGUUGGAAACGACUGCUAAUACCGGAUGAUAUCGAAAGAUCAAAGAUUUAUCGCCCAGGGAUGAGCCCGCGUAGGAUUAGCUAGUUGGUGAGGUAAAGGCUCACCAAGGCGACGAUCCUUAGCUGGUCUGAGAGGAUGAUCAGCCACACUGGGACUGAGACACGGCCCAGACUCCGUACGGGACGGCA
rnacentral:rRNA from 1 species